rfam:Schistosoma mattheei strain Denwood, Zambia genome assembly, scaffold: SMTD_scaffold0001569
AUCCAGCUGACGAGUCCUAAAUAGGACGAAACACCCUUUCUGGAU